UGUGCACUGGUGGGGUCCCUCGGCCUGGUCCCGGAUUGUGACAGGGUACAGGCCAGGCUGAGGGACCCCUCCAGUGCAUG
rnacentral:pre_miRNA from 1 species